AGCGAACGCCGGCGGCAGGCCUAACACAUGCAAGUCGAACGGACCCUUCGGGGUUAGUGGCGGACGGGUGAGUAACACGUGGGAACGUGCCUUUAGGUUCGGAAUAGCUCCUGGAAACGGGUGGUAAUGCCGAAUGUGCCCUUCGGGGGAAAGAUUUAUCGCCUUUAGAGCGGCCCGCGUCUGAUUAGCUAGUUGGUGAGGUAAUGGCUCACCAAGGCGACGAUCAGUAGCUGGUCUGAGAGGAUGACCAGCCACAUUGGGACUGAGACACGGCCCAAACUCCUACGGGAGGCAGCAGUGGGGAAUCUUGCGCAAUGGGCGAAAGCCUGACGCAGCCAUGCCGCGUGAAUGAUGAAGGUCUUAGGAUUGUAAAAUUCUUUCACCGGGGACGAUAAUGACGGUACCCGGAGAAGAAGCCCCGGCUAACUUCGUGCCAGCAGCCGCCGUAAUAC
rnacentral:rRNA from 1 species